GUACGCCUUGUUUGGUAUUUUUAUAUCAUAGCACGUUGCAGAAAUGGCCGCAAAGCCCCCACAUAAACCUGGACCCAAAGCGCCUGCGCAUCAUGGUGGUCAACAACAUGCUUUGUCAAGACAAGAUAUACAAAAUCUUCUGGACACAGCAAACAGACUUCGUCGGGCAGACGAAGGCAAUGAGGUCUUUUGGGCUGCAAUCAUAAACUUGCUCCAAGUUAUUCUUCAGAGACUGCAUUAGGGGUACAGGUAUGGUUACGUAUACGACUGAAUUUUUCAAAACUGAGAAAAACGACACUGGACCUCUCACUACGCAGGACUUUCACUGGACUACUUACUACCCAGAACUUUCAGCAAUUCUUAUUUAUCUAGAUAUGUUUUGUACAACAACAAAAUAAACUUAAGAUAGUGCGAA